rnacentral:lncRNA from 1 species
GGGAUGUCUUUCCAUUUUCUUGUAUCCUCUUCAGUCUCUUUUUUCAGAGUGCUGUAGUUUUCAGUGUAGAGGUCUUUUGCUUCCUUUGUUACAUUGAUUCCUAGAUAUUUCAUUUUUCUUGGAUGCUACUGUAAAAGGAAUUGUUUCCCUAAUUUCUCUCUUAGUGAGUCUGUUAUUUGUGUACAAAAAGGCUAUUGUUUUUUGAGUGUUGACCUUGUAUCCAGCUAUUCUACUGAAUCUGUCAAUUAAGUCUAGAAGUCUUCUGGUGGAAUCUUUUGGGUCUUCUAUGUAAAGUGUCAUAUCGUCAGCAAAUAAUGACAGUUUAACUUCUUUUCCUAUCUUUAUUCCUUUUAUUUCUUUCUCUUUUCUAAUUGCUAUGGCUAAUGUUUCCAGAACUGUAUGGAACAGGAGUGGUGAGAGUGGACAUCUUUGUCUUGUUCCUGAUUUUAUCAUGAAAGUUUUCAGUUUUUAACCAUUUAGUAUGAUGUUGGCUGUUGGUUUUUCAUAGAUAGGCUUAAUCAGGUUAAGAUAAAGACCUUCUGUUCCAAUUUUCUGUAGGGUUUUUAUCAUGAAUGGGUGCUGGAUUUUGUCAAAUGCUUUUUCUGCCUCUAUUGAGAUGAUCAUAUGGUUUAUUUCUCUUAAUGUGGUGUAUUACAUUUUUUGAUUUACGAAUGUUGAACCAUCCUUGCAUCCCUGGGAUAAAUCUGACUUGGUUAGGGUGUAUGAUCUUCUUGAUGACUCUCUGUAUUCUGUUUGCCAGUAUUUUGUUGAGGAUUUUUGCAUCUAUGUUCAUUAGGGAGAUUGGCCUAUAGUUCUCUUUUUGGGUUGGGUCUUUCCCUGGUUUUGGAAUCAAAGUAACACUUGCUUCCAGGAAUGAAUUUGGAAGCCUUGCUUCCCUUUCAGUUUCCUUGAUGAGUUUAAAGAGUAAUGGUGUUAGAUCUUCUUUAAAUGUCUUGUAAAUUUCAGCAGUGAAGCUAUCCGGACCUGGGCUUUCCUUUGUUGGGCAGAGGCAUUUAUUGCUAAGUGUACGCUGCUGGCAAAGCAGCCACCUCAGGUGUGCCAAGCAUCUACGCCCCCAGCACCUAAGCCUACCUCUCCCCUGCCAAGACCCCACCCCCACUGCCAAUCAUGAUUCCCAUGGGCCCCAUCUACAAUGGCUACCCUGGAGGGUACCCUGGAGACUUCGAUAGGAACAGCUCAGGUGAGGCCUGGGGAGAGCCUGGG